rnacentral:rRNA from 1 species
UACGUAGGGGGCGAGCGUUGUCCGGAAUUAUUGGGCGUAAAGCGCGCGCAGGCGGCUGUUUAAGUCUGGUGUUUAAUCCUGGGGCUCAACCCUAGGUCGCACUGGAAACUGGACAGCUUGAGUGCAGAGGAGGAGAGUGGAAUUCCACGUGUAGCGGUGAAAUGCGUAGAGAUGUGGAGGAACACCAGUUGCGAAGGCGGCUGACUGGACACAUAUUGACGCUGAGGCUCGAAAGCAUGGGGAGCAAACAGG